ACAAAUCAAUAGACAAAUGGCAGAGGAAGACACAGGUGACCACAGGUGCUGCUGCUAUUAAAAGCAAGCUGCAUGCUUUUAAUCAGAAUAUCAGUGAACAAGUUGCUUCUUAUAUGAGAGAUCCAAGCAGAAUGGUUAAGCAGAUGCAGAUGAGGCGAUCGGCAGUUGGUGUAUUUGGCACUGUAAGAUAUUAAAA